UCCUCCUGCCUUGAUGAUAAUGGACUGAACCUCUGAACCUGAUCUCAUGCAGCUAAGGAAAGCCUUGAACUGACUUGACUAUACAGCAGAGAAUGACCUUGGUCUCUUGAUCUUCCAGCCUCCACCUGCCAAGGCCUGAAAUCACAAACUGGGACCACCAUACAUGCCUGAAUCCCUUACACUUUCCAAAAAGGGAAGGAAACAAAAAGAGAUUAAAUGCCCUCUCCUAGGCUGUGAUCUGAGAAACCAAACUGUUGCUAAUAAACUCUCUUCCUAGAAGAUUUAAAUCUA